UUAGCUCCUGAAAAGAAAGAAGCAGAUCCUUAAAAGCUCGCGCAGUUGGCAAACAGAUUUCUCCUGCUAGAUUCUGCAAUACAUGUUAUGUAAAAGGUAAAGAUUUUCUCCUGACAUUAAAUUUAGUCAUGUCCAACUCUGAGGGUUGGUACUCAUCUCCUUUUCUAAGCCGAAGAGCCGGCAUUGUCUGUAGACACCUCCAAGGUCAUGUGGCCGGUAUAAUUGCAUGGAGCGCCGUUACCUUGCCAUUGGAGAGGUACCAAUUGAUCUACUCACAUUUGCAUGUUGUCGAACUGUUAGGUUGGCAGAAGCUGGGGCUAACAGCGGGAGCUCACCUCAUCUGCAGAUUCAAACUGCUGACCUUUCAGUCAGCAAGUUCAACAGCUCAGCGGUUUAGCCUGCUGCACCACCAGAUAAAUACACGUUACAUUGGUAAAAUCCCUCCCUAAAAGCCAGUAAUACAGUAGAGUCUCGUUUAUCCAACUUUCGCUUACCCAACAUUCUGUAUUAUCCAACAAAAUCUGCCUUUUAGUAGUCAGUGUUUUUGUAGUCAAUGUUUUCAAUAUAUUGUAAUGUUUUGGUGCUAAAUUCGAAAAUAGCAUCCUCAGAGGAUGCCUGCCAUAGAUGUGGGCGAAACGUCAGGAGAUAAUACUUCUACAACAUGGCCAUACAGCCCGGAAAACAUACAACAACCCCAGAAACAGUACAGUUUAGAAGUCAGUUAGUAUCAGUAUGCUGCAGUGAAUAGUCAGUCUGUACUGAAUCAAUGUUCAGUAAUGUAUUAGGCUGAAGAGAGUGUUAGUUUAUAUGCAACAAAGAAGAGACUAAAACAGAAUGCUUUAGAGAGCAAAUUGUUUCAACUCUCAGCCAAUAAGAAAUGUAUUUCUAUGAUGAAUACAUUAACUAAGUAAAUUAACUAUGUUGUACUUUUAACUGAGACUACUUAUUUUUGGUCUCUUGAGAAUAUGAUUUAAAAGCAAUAUAUUUCAUGGGAGAUUAGAUGUUUUUUGGGCAACUGAAAUGACACUUCUGAAGAUCUGCUAUAUGUUUUAUGCAUUAGCAUAUCUUUGUUUCUAACAGUUCAGAGAGAUAACCAGAUAUAUCGGUUAAACAACUUGCCUUAACUUAAAUUGCCUUGCAUUAAUACUUGUGGAUAUUUAUUUACCACUAAGGAGAGGAUUCACUCAAAUGAGUAUUUAACUCUUCUCAGGAAGAUCAUAUUUUACAAAAAGGUUAUCAUUAUUCAAAAUAGUGUGAAUGCCAAUUAAUCUCCAAAAGGGUCACACUUCCAAAAGGGUAUGAAGAUCCCUGGUUUUAUAAAAGGUUAUGAACUAAAAGGUCAUGCUUUUCCAAAAAAAACCUCAUACUGGUAAAAGCAACAAGUAAAAAUACAUUUCAUAGCCGUAAACUAUCACUGACUCAUACCACUUUUAAUGAAAGUUUCUUCAGUGACUGCCUAAAUGCUACUGAGCCUAACUGAAUGCAAAGUGCAACAUCGGUCUUCUGCUUCCUGAUCGACAGGGGAACAGGCCCCAGUCAAUUGUAGUAAAUGGGGAACUUUCACUGGCCUUCCAUAUCUUCUAGAGCGAGGAAGAUACAGAGACUGUGAAUAUGAAACUCUCACAAGUAUAGAGAGCCUCACCAGCUUCUACCACGUGGUCCAUAGUCGGGAACCUCUUAAGCACCCUGGUGCUGACUGAACGUAGGAUGAGCACAGAUGAAAGGUUGGCAUAACGGAUGAGAGUACGCCGCAAGAUUCGUCCCCUCUCAUCUCUUCCAUGCACAUUGCUGGAAACGACGCACAUCAGCUGAUCUGGCAGCGGGAUGCUGGUAUACUGGGCCCACCAACGGUUCACAAUCAAUGUGACAUAGAAACCUGCCAAGAAAGACACAGAAGAGGCUUUUAAGAGUACUGAGCGAAGGGAAAUUGUACUCAGUGUGAGGGUGAUACUAAGUAAUCCGACUUAUGAAUUACUGCCACUAAACCAUGUUAACACCAGGAAUCAAAAAGAUCUGCCCAUGACAUCACUGGUUUCAAUUGUUCAUCAUUUUAGUUUAUUAAAAUAUUAAGUAAUCAUGUGAAUAUUUUAAGAUUUAGUUUAAUGAUUUCUAAAUUAAAACUAUAGUUUGUUUA